rnacentral:tRNA from 1 species
GGGCCUGUAGCUCAGUUGGUUAGAGCCGGCGACUCAUAAUCGUCAGGUCCCUGGUUCGAGUCCAGGUGGGCCCA